rnacentral:lncRNA from 1 species
UGCUCUCUCCUUACCUUUUUUUUUUUUUCUCCAUCUUUUCUUCUUUCUUUUCUGGUUUGUAGAGCUUUCCCAGGCAAAAAUUAGGCUCUGAAAUCAGUAACAAAAGAAGUUUCCAACAAACACCAAAUUUAAAUUGAUUCAGGCAGCAAACCCCAUGCAUUUUGACUCUCACUCAACAUUGACUAUUAGCUUCGUCUUCAAACUCCAAGGCAGCAAAACCAAGCCCAAAAGUUUCCUCAUAAAAUAAUCCUCAGUCAUCCCACUACAAGCCCACUUUAAGCACCAGUUCUCCUCACUGUUGGAGCCUGGAGGGAGAUAAGAGAGGCGAUUCCUCUUACAUUCUAGGGAGAGAGUUGCUCAGUUGAGGUGACAGUGCGUAUCCAGCAUCCCCAUGCCAUGAUUUGGGGUCUCAGCAAGAAACAGAUGGGUGUGAGAAAAGAGUUGGCUUGCUUGUCUCUUCUGCUGCUGAUGCUGUUACAGUUAGAAAGUUCAUGUUUUGCAGAAGGGUAUGGCAGAUUCAGCAGAUUUAAAGUUGGGUCUGGGUCUGGGUCUGGUUCUGGGUCUGGUUCUGAGCUCAGUCCUGCUAAACCCCGUGGUGUGUUCAAAGGAAAUGCAGGUAAAGAUGGUGAUGACGUUUUUGCUGCUGAAAAGAGGAGAGUCUACACAGGUCCAAAUCCUCUACACAAUAGAUAAGCACUAGUAGAGAAACCAAGCUUGAUUUUCUCUCCUUCAAGCUAUGAAUUUUCCUUUCCCUUCCCCUUCCCAUCUCCUCUUCCUUUUUCCUUCUUUCUUUCCUCUUUUUUCCUCAUUUUUAUGAAUAUAUAUUUUAUGCUUGAGGCUUUGCUGAACUUGUUCACAGGAUGUUUUUUCAAGUAAUUUUACAAAUGUAUAUGAAGACUUAAUUAGUUUUGAGAUUUUGGUGAUCAGGAAUCACUUUUAUUUGUUAAAAUAUAUAUAAAUAUAUAUAUAUAUAUAUAAUAUAUAUGGCAAGAAAUAUUUUUCAUUCUAAUGAUCUCCUGAAUAUUAAUGCCAUUAAUAGGGUGGUUGGUGUUUAUGAGUAGAGGUCUGCUUUUUGAUCAAGUUGGUUGGUAUUAUUAUUCUUUCCCACUGCUAUUGUAUUCAAUAAACUGCAGCAGCUUUGCCUCCUCGAGCCUAUUCUUUCCCUCAUUUCAAGCUUUGCCCUUCAACUAGCUAGCUCAUCCAUACUUACUUCAUAUGGAUUUGUUUUAUAUACAGACAUGCAUGUAUUCAGCUUGCAUGUCAAUAUGUGGAAAAUUGGCUCCUACAUGUUUGUGAAGUUUGAUUGUCUAUUUGGUUAUUUCAGUUGUUUGAUGAGUGAAAAUCUGCAUCUAUGAUAGCUUCUCUUUCGGCGGAAAUGGCUAUUCUGAGAUGUUUCCUUUUGCAGAAUGUUUGUAUAUUUUACUAUUUUGAACCAAAAUUAAUUAAUUAAUUUUCACCAUAAAGAUGGUGUUGCAGGAUUAAUUUGUCUAUAGUCUUCAACUCAUCUUAAUUUUCCUGCCAUGAAUGAUUAUGAAGGAGGCCCCACUGAUAGGGUUUGAUUCAACCUUUGCCAGCCAUAUGUCCACUAUAGUUAUAGACAUAUACAUUGAGAAUUUUAAUUAUUCUUCUGUUUUUUAUGAUUGUGGAUAGAAAAUUCUUACACCCUUUUGAUGAAUGAUGGAUUACAAUAGAUGGCAAAUUUUUUUAUUUAAUUUCUUUAUUUCUUUAUUGUUUUGUUACUUCAUAGAUUCAUAGGUGAAGUGGGGAAAAUUAUUUUCAAAUUUUAGACCAUUACAUUUUUUUUUUUUGGGUUCAUUCCAAUUUCCCAUGAGGGAAAACAACUUUUGGGUAAAAAAAAGUACAACAAAUAGUGUUUUUCCUUUCUAAUUAUCUUUCUUUGAUUUUUUUAAAUUUUCAUUUUCUUUCCUCUUUUAAUUAAUGACCUAAAAAAUUGUAAAGAAGAAACCUUUCAAAAGAAUUCUCUCCAUGCCCUCUUCCUCAUCUUUCCUUAGAUGGUUUACCCAUGAAUUGUUCUGUAAGAUUCUGGGUUGGAAUCUAUGGUAUUCUCAGACAUAUAGAGUGGAAAAAAAGAAAAGAAAUUAGAAGAAAAAUAAAAAUGAUAUGAGAGAAAAAAAGGUGAGGAGUGGAAGUUUUGAAAAUAUUGCAAGUCAAUUGUGGAGUGAAGAGGAAUAGUGUCCUGGUAGCUACAGUAUAAAAAUAUGUACAAAUUGUUUGUUUCUACAAGAUUGAUAUGGAGAGGGGGAUUUGGUUUUUGUUUCUUACUGAUGAUCUCCAUACACCAUAUUUUCAAGAUAGGGGCCUUCAGCUUCCCGGCUGCGGUCCACUUGGAAAUAGGAAAAGAACUGUUGGAUGCAAGAGUUUUGAAAUGUGACCAUUAUUUAAUCGAAUACGAGUAUGAAUAUACAUAUAUUUUAUGGUUAAUAUUAUGAUUUUUGCCUUUUUUUUUUUAACAUAAAAAAUAAUAAUAAAAGAUAUGUUUGAUAAAUGUUUUUAGAAAAUAAUUUUUAAAAAUAUUUCCUAAAAAAAGAGCUGGUUUUUGUCAGAUAUUGAAGUAUUACUUCUAAUAUUUUUGGAAAUUGUAAAUACUCUAAAAAUAAAAAAUAAUUUAAUUUUUAGAAGUGAAUUUGAAAGUGCUUCAUACCCUCUAAAAAUCAAGAUAAAAUCUCAUCAAUCUCUUACCUUUUACUUUUAUGAUCUAAGUAAUAUCACUAGUAAUUUUAUUGUAAGAAACAGGAAUUUCAGUGAUGAGACAAUAGAAUUUGGUUGUGGAAGAAUGGAGGCCAAUACAAGGGUUUUUGAAAAAAGUAGUGAAUGGAAAUUAAAAACAUAAAUGCAUGAGGAAAAAUUUAAAAUCAAAAGUGGGUGCGAGGAAAACAUUGUUGAAAUAUGCAAUGAAUGCUGAAGGGAGGGUACUCAAGGCAGUUAAUGGGGCUUGAAAAACGAGUCGUCCUUGUCAAGUUCAAGGAAUGAAGACAUGGUUAAUUUCAUGUCCGAAAAGUCACAGUCUCACGAACCAUUGCCCUCUUGAAUAAGAAAGGUGAGGGUUGGAAAGACUAACUGAGACUAAAUAUUAAAGCCCAUACCAGAUUACCAGAGGCUGGAUUGAAUUCAAGGAUAACCAGUAGGACUGUGAAUCCAUUCUGGUUUUGAUAAAAUAAAAUAAAAAUCAGAAAUUAUAAAAGGUCCCAAAGAAGACCACUUCUCAGUGUCAAUGGCGGUAAUACCUGCAUUCACAAACCACCGAAGGCAGUAAGGCCACAAAAUUGAAGUACAGGAAAAUGAAGAAAGGCAGGGCAGGAUUUGAAAAGUCAAAAAACUACAACCCACAACGUAACAUAGAAAACGGAAAAUGUCAGGUAACGGUCAUGUCAUCCACACCAACAAUUUCAAUUUUGUAUCCAUUCAAACCUCCAUUUCAGACUCCUUUCCUCUAUAACUUUCCCAUAUCAAAUUACCCCCGUCACCCGACAACUCCCCAGUGCUAUUAAAGAAGCCAUUUAAUGCACCAGCUUCUUAAAACCGUCCAUUCUCAUCGCGACUGCAGCCCCAUGGCCUACUUCCCUCCCCCCUUCAACUGAUCAAAUUAAGCUCUCUUAAGACGGAUUCUUAUUAUGACAAAAAACAUUAGGGGUUUGAAUUACCCAAAGAAGUUUUUAAAAAAAUUGAUCAUGAAAACAGAAUAUUUUUUAAAACGGAUAAUUUUACAGAUGUGUUUUCAUGUAAUUUUUUAUGAAGUGUUUUGACAAAUAAUCAAAAAGUAUGAAGAAGAGAGGGAGCUAUAAGUAUUUACAUGUUCAUUCCCAAUGCUCUAACUGCUGCCCGGCUCAUGCUUUUCCACUUGAGACUGUAGCUAAUAUAAUAUGAAGAAUCUAAACUUUAAGGCAAGCAAAUUAAAAUUACUUUCUGUAAAAUCUGCAUGGAAACUACAUAUUCACAUGAUGCCUGCAAAACAUAAUUGGCUUCUCUUAAGAUUCUGCUGCUCAGGAAGUCAGGCUAUUGUACUGCACCUUGCUUGAUCAAACCCUACCUUCCGCUAUCGAAGUCCUUGUACGUCAUCAAGCUACUAAAUUUUGGAAACCCUCUUAAUUUUCAAACACACACUCCCGUGCAAUGAGUCCGACCACCCCAUCUAAGAGUUUGAAAAUUUUUGUUUAAAAUCUGUAAACUAAAAUAUCCACCGUUGUACUUUCACUCUUCCAUGGAUACUUAAACUAACAAGCAAUUCUACUCUUCCAUGUAUGCUUAAACCAGCAAGCAAUUCUACUCUUCCAUGUAUGCUUAAACCAGCAAGCAAUUCUAGAAGAACGAUUGAGUAGACAUUAUUUGUAAACUUCAUUCUUUUUUCUACCCUAUGUAAUCACAAAAAUGGAAGGCAGGAAUGCAAUCAUUAGAAGGAUCACACAAAGGCGGAAAUGGAACAACCAUGACACAGUCCAAAGGUAAGUUCAGGUCCAUAAAAGGAUAACUAGGGGGGUUUUUUUACUUUGGAUUUGCAGAGCACCCAAACCCACCCUCAAGAAAAAUAAGAUAAAAUAAAAUAAAUCCAGUGCUAUUCAUGUUAGCCUUAAGAGCAGGCAUUUGCAUAUAAAUAUUUCAAUGUGACAGCAUUACAAUUCGGGAGCAUCACUUUGGUUCAGCCAAAAAUGGACUCUGAUGGUAUUGUUCCUGGCACAAACGCAUGGAACGCAACAGGAAACACACAAUGCAAUAGUAAAACUAAGAUAACACCACAACUUGUGGCUUGUGCACAGUCAUUCUCUUCAAGGGGUGAUUUAAAAAUUUCAGAUGAUCAAUGCUCAAAAUUCCAAUGGGUGGGAUAUAAGAUGAUCUACCCUCCUGUACCUCAUAGCUUGGAGGCAUGACCUCUGAUUCUACUCAAGGCAAUUGCUGUCUUUGAACCAGAUUGUCGUCCCAAAUGCUGACAGAUGAAAUCCCCAGCCAACAUGAGCUUCCCAAGAUCCACAUUUGUCUUCACCCCGAGUCCAUUUAGCAUGUAAACAACAUCCUCAGUCGCAACAUUCCCAGAAGCACCUUUAGCAUAUGGGCAGCCCCCAAGACCAGAUACUGAUGAAUCCACUGUGGUGAUCCCCAUCUGUAUAGAAAAGAGAUAGUGUAUAAAAUAUGGAAUAAAGCAAACACCCAUCAUGAUUAGUAAUGUUGUUGAGCCAAUUUUGAUCCUUAACUGAGUAUGCAAUUCUGAUUUUUUGAAUUUCUAAGUGAAUGAUAAGCACAUCAUUAAAGCAAGCUCAAGAAAGUUCUGCAUAUACUCAGUAGAUGUGAUUUAAAGAUGCAUCAUUAUCUUAAACCACUGAAAAUUCAGUUAUAUGCACCAUCUCAAUUAUAUGCAUCUCUAUGUUCAUGAGUAAUGAUUUUUAAAAUUUUCUAAAUCCAACUGCACCCCCAAGGUGAAACUUUGAUGUUCAUAUCAACAUAAUAUGCAUGGAGAUUACACCUUUUUUGGUACAAGAUGAAGGCAGCUUAUGUUGAAGAAUGCACUCUAAACAGUCUACUAAGCAAUGUGUUAUUAUUACAAUCUAGUUUGAGUUGGGUCAGUGAAAUGUUUCAUGAAAGUUAUAAUAAUAUUAGAUUGGUAUCCAUGAUUGGAAUUAUAGUACAAAAAUUAAGGACAUUCAAUAUCUCAUUACCACGUAUCUUGCAAUAUAUUUGAUCCCACUUGGGGCUGUUACUAAAGUAAUUCAUUCUUCUAGCAAUGCUAAUUUUCUUCUCAGUUUCAAAACAACAAUAUUUCUGAGGCCUGAACUCGUUAAUGGAAUGACCCUUGGCUACCAUCCAAUGGACCCCAAAUAUAUUUUCCUUUUAGUUUCCCAUUUUAUUUUAUGUUUUACCUUAGUGUUUAUGCUAACUGUAUUAGACCCUUAUUUCAAUCUAUAAGCAUUAUAUAUCAUAUAAUUUUCUUUAGUAGUGGUACAGGAGAAAAAGAUUGGGGUUGACUUGUCCAAGUAAGGUGGCUUAGACAAGCAAACAAGGAUUUUUGAGAUAUCAGCCUUUGAUGGUAAGUACUCUUUUUUUUCUUGUUUGACAAAUAUGUUAGUAGCAGCAGCAACAAUGAAUUCAAUAUAAACCCACAAGAUAAAAAUUAAAAUUAAAAGAAUAAAAAAAAAAAUAAUAAUAAUAAUAAUAAAGAUAGCUUUAUUUGAUAGUGUAAACCCAAAAAAGGGACAGCUGUAUGUGAUGGUGAACUCUCUAUUCACCGUUUCUUUUGGCAUAGAGAGGCCUAAAAGGGGAAGAGGAAGAAAACCUAACCACAGCAAUGUAAAAACUAAUGGCAAGGAUCAGUUUUUAAUAAUAAUAAUAAAGACAGCUCUAUUUGAUAGUGUAAACCCAAAAAAGGGACAGCUCUAUGCAAUGGUGAACUCUCUAUUCACUGUUACCUUUGCCCUAGAGGGGCCUAAAAGGGGAAGAGGAAGAAAACCUAACCACAGCAAUGUAAAAACUAAUGGCAAGGAUCAGUUUUUAAGUGUCAUCAUUGUGGGAGAUCUGGUCAAGCUAAAGAGAUAAUUUGGGAAAUGUGUGAUCAUUGAACAACGUUUCCUCAACACCCCAAGCUACUGAUAUUGUUUUGAAGCUGCUUUGAAACUCUAUUUAACAAACAAUCCUAUCGCGCACUCAUAUUAAUUGUUUUAAUAAAGAUUCACAAGUGCACAUGCAUGCAUUUGGUUUUCUCUUCAAGUGAAGUUGAUAGGUAUCUAAUGGAGAAUUAUUAUUGAAUUUCAAGAAUUUCAAGAAACAAGAGACCCAACUGAUACUCGGAUAGCUAUUCGAGAGGCUAUCACUCUCCUACCAGAUCUACAUGAUAUCCAGCCCCUGUAAUUCCCUCCUUUUUCCUAUUUUAACCAUCCCAGCCCGUAUCCAGAUUGUGACCUAGCCUAUACUAAGGCUGUUACAACUAACUGCCAGGUGGCAGUACAUUCCUCUUCCCUUUUCUAGUAUACACAUAACGUGUAUGAGGCCUAUCAUUACCCCCCUCAAUGAGAGACACCUUGUCCUCAAGGUGGAAGUCAGGAAAGUGUUCUUUAAUUGUGUCGGUUGAUUCCCAUGAAGCUUCAAACUGAGGAAGUCCUUUCCAUUGAAUAAGUACUUCAAUAUCAGUCUGAUUGUUAUUGGGAGACAGGUGAAUAUCUAAGACCUGAUCAGGCUCCACAAGCCAUUCCAUAUCUUCAGCAAGAAUAGGGGAAAGUGGCUGACAUAAAUCAGCUGAACCAAGAGCCCGCUUGAGCUGUGAAACAUGAAACACUGGAUGAAUAGUUGCCGAAAAAGGAAGCUCUAACUUGUAUGCCACCAGACCAAUUUGCUGCACCACUUUGUAAGGGCCAAAAUAUCGUGGGAAGAGCUUCUCAUUGGGUCGUUUGGCAAGGGAACGAAGACAAUACAGACGGAGUUUUAUAUAGACAAAAUCCCCAACUUCAAAUUGAACUACACGACAAUGGGCAUCUGCAGAUGACUUCAUUUUAGAUUGGGCACAACAGAGAUGGUCCUUCAGUUCAUUUAAAAUUAGAUCACACUCUUGCAAUAACUGAUCCACUGCCAGAACAGAGGUGGAAUCUGAUCCAUAACGUAGCAACGGUGGUGGGUCUCACCUGUAAACUGCUUGAAACGGUGUCAUAUUAGUGGAGUGGAAUGUGGUAUUAUACCAGUAUUCUGCCCAUGGAAGCCAUGUAAACCAAUGUCUAGGCUUGUUAUAUGAAAAACAUCGAAGCUAUGUCUCCACACAACGGUUGACCACUUCCGUUUGUCCAUCCAUUUGAGGAUGAGAUGCAGUACUAUGGCAGAGAGAAGUAAGCAUAUUUGCUCAAUCAAUCCACAACAACUAAAAUGGAGUUAUAACCCUCAGACUUAGGAAGCCCCUCAAUAAAGUCUAUCGUCACAUCAUCCCAUAUUUUUUCUGGAAUAGGCAGUGGUUGUAGUAACCCAGCAGGCGACAAAGUUAGGGCCUUAUUUUGUUGGCAUACAAACUCUUUGAUGUCAUUCUUCAUGCCAACCCAAAAAAAAAUCUCGUAUGAGUCGUUUGUAAGUCUGCAAGAACCCGGAAUGCCCUCCAACCACGCUAGCAUGGCCCUCUUGAAGAAGUGCUGGAACAAGGGGUGAGGCCUUGGGAAGAACUAGGUGCCCCUUGUAGAGGAGAAUGCCAUGGUCCAAAGAAUACCAAGGAUAAGCAUCUGGAUCAACCAGCAGCCUCUGCCGAAUCUUAGCAAGGUGUGGGUCAGCUUCAACUUGUGAACUAAUCAACGAAGUGUCUAAGCGACUAGGAACUAUGAGGGCAGCUAACUCCAUAGAAAUGGGGAUGUGAGAUAAGGCAUCAGCUGCUUUAUUCUCCAAUCCAGGCCAAAACUGAAUUUCAAAGUCAUACCCCAACAGCUUUGCAACCCACUUUUGGUAUGACUCAUUCACCACCCUUUGCUCUAGUAGAAACUUCAAACUACUUUGAUCUGUUCACACAAUAAAGUGGCGACCAAGCAGGUAGUGAUGCCACUUCUGAACUGCUAAGACAAUAGCCAUUAACUCUCUUUCAUAUAUGGACUUUUGUCACUCCCUUGCUGAGAGGAUUUGGCUAAAAUAAGCUACUGGUCUAUGACUUUGCAUCAAAACGGCACCCAAACCAUACCCCGAGGCAUCCGUCUUUACAAUGAAGAGUUGACUGAAGUUGGGCAAAGCCAAUACAGGAAUCGUUGUCAUAGUUGUUUUCAAUUUUUAGAAGGUUGCCUUGGCCUCUGGGUUCCAACUAGAAGCAUUUUUUUUUUUGAGUUGCUGAGUGAAGGGCCAAGAAAUAGCUCCAUAUCCCUUGACAAAUCAACAAUAGUAUCCAGUCAAUCCGAGAAAUCCUCGUAAUUCUUUAAGGGAUUUGGGUGUGGGCCACUCUACCAUGGCCGAAAUCUUGUUGGGAUCAGCAGCAACCCCCUUGGCGGAAACCAAAUGGCCCAAGUAUUCCAGCUGUGGUUUAGCAAAGAGACAUUUCUUUCCAUUGACGUGCAGUUGGUGGUUCGCCAGAAUGGACAACACACUUUGCAAAUAAUCACAAUGCUCCUUCAAGUCCUUGCUGUACACCAAUAUGUCAUUAAAAAAUACGAGCACAAAUUUCCGAAGGUGUGGCCAAAAUAUACGGUUCAUUAACGAUUAGAAAGUCGUUGGUGCAUUGGUUAGCCCAAAAGGCAUCACCAAGAACUCGUAGUGACCUUCAUGGGUGCAAAAUGUCGUUUUGUGGAUAUCUUGUUGUCGGACUUGAAUUUGGUGGUAGCCCGAUUUGAGGUCUAGUUUGGAAAAAAUGGUCGCGCCAUGAAGUUCAUCGAGUAACUCAUCGAUCACCGGAAUGGGGAACCGAUCCGGGACUGUAACUUUGUUAAGAGCAUAGUAAUCUAUACAAAACCUCCAUUCUCCAUCUUUUUUUUUUAACCAACAACACUGGACUAGAAAAUGGGCUUAAACUAGUCCGAACAAUUCUUGCCUCAAGCAUCUCUAGCACCAAUCUUUCUAUUUCAUUCUUUAGAAUAUGUGGAUACCGAUAGGGACGGACGUUAACCGAAGAUGCUUCCAGGAUUAAUUGAAUGGCAUGGUCAAUAUCACGACUUGGUGGUAACCCUGUUAUUGGCCCAAAAACUCGUUGAUGUUGAGCUAACACUUCUUUGACUGUUUUCGGGACCUCUUGUACUCCUUCACUCAAAUCCGAAGUGGUGGAAGUCUAACAGAGUUCCACCCAUACCCCUUGGCUAUGGUGCUGCAAUGCUCUAGCCAUUGCCUUAAGAGACACCUCGGUCUGACUAAGGCUCGGGUCUCCCUUUAACACUAUCACUGCCUUCCCUAUUUUGGUCUUCAUUGUUAGCAUCUUUCAGUUUACUUUCACGUCUCCUAAAGUCCCCAACCAAGGCAUUCCUAGAAUUACAUCAGUGUUGCAUAAUUCAAGUGGAAGAAAGUCACUACAGUGAGCCCCUACAUCGAAAUACAAACUCCCCUACAAAUGCCCUUCCCUUUCACGGAUAUCCCAGUUCCCAUCAUCACCCCGUAACUAGUUGUUGUAGUUAAUGGAAGUGCUAAUUGUUGAACCAAAUCAAGGAAUAAAAAAUUGUGGGUAGCCCCACUGUCUACAAGGAUGAUUACCUCUUUUGACCCGAUCGUCCCUUUAAUCUUCAUAGUCCCCGGCAUAGUUAAACCGACCACGGAAUUUAGAGAUAAUUCCACAACGUCUUUCAGCUCGAUGAGUGAAGGUUCUUUGGUUGCUCUGUCGUCAAACUGAUUAUCCUCCUCCUCUUCAUCUUCGUGCACCAAUAAAACCCUUAAUUCUUUCUUACAGUGAUGACCAAGUGAGAACUUUUCAUCACACUUAAAACAGAGCCCCUUCUCUCUACGGGCUUGAAGCUCUGAUUCCAUCAGUCUCUUUAUCGGAAUCUCACGUCGCUAGUUCAUCGUCUUCUCACUAACAACCACUGCCCUAGUCUGAAAAUUUUCCCCAAUCUUCCAAUCACCUCGAUUUGCAGAUGACAACAUUUUGGUGCUCUUUGGGUCCUUUGGUUCACGGGCCGCCCUUAGGGUUAAAUUCCUAUCUUCGACUUGUUGGGCCAUUUCCAUCAAGUGGCCCAGCCCAUAUGGUUGCAGAAGACGUAACUCAGCCCGGAUCUCAGGAAGCAGCCCAUUCAUAAACGUACUUUCCAUUACCUCCUCUGAAAUCCUUUUCAAGGGAGUCGCUAGAAUCUCGAAUUCCCGCUGGUAUGCUGCCACUGUCCCUUGUUGUCACACUGCCAGAAACUGCUCACAAAGGCUCCCUUCUUGAGUCUGACGAAAGCAAAGCAAUAGCCGCCUCUUCAAAUUUUCCCAACUCCCAAACGCCUCCCUCGAAUCAGUGCACUGGUACCAAGAGAGUGCGUCCCCAUCUAAACUCAUCGCAGCAGCGACUAAUUUCUCCUAUUCCAUGAGUCCAUACGUCGCGAAGUAUCGAUCGGCCCGGAAGAUCCAGCUAUCCAGGUUUUCUCCCGUAAAUACAGGCAUCUCCACCCGUCGACCGCCACACCAUUCCCCGUUUCCGCCUCGCCUCGUCUCAUCUGAUGCCAUCCACCCCCCACUAGUUUCCCCAACUCCAGGGAUCCAUUUUGCAUGGUUUUCUCGUUGAGCAGCAGUCGUCGUGACCCGCCCCGAUGACAACGCCGCCACCGUCUUUUGUGUCUCUUCCAACGAUUGCAGAACUCGCAUUACAUUCUAGGCAAGGUCCAUCACCGUCUUUUCCAUUCCUAGUAAGCGCUGCAUCUCCUCUCUGAUUUCUCCAACUUCCUUCUCUAGAAAAUCCACCCGACCUUCAUUCUUUUUCUAAGCCAUCUAGAUCGAUGCUCUGAUACCAAAUUGAUAGGUAUCUAAUGAAGAAUUAUUAUUGUAUUUCAAGAAUUUCAAGAAACAAGGGACCCAACUGAUACUUAGAUAGCUAUUCGAGAGGUUAUCACUCUCCUACCAAAUCCACAUGAUAUCUAGCCCCUGUAAUUCCCUCUUUUUUCCUAUUUAAACCAUCCCAACCCAUAUCCAAAUUGUGACCUAGCCUAUACUAAGGCCGUUACAACUAACUGCUAGAUGGCAGUACAUUCCUCUUCCCUUUUCUAGUAUACACAUAACAUAUAGGAGGCCUAUCAGAAGUAAAUGUUGAAUCAUCAAUUAAAAAACUUCUAAUCGAAUCAAUUAUGUAUAAUCAUUUUCUAGUGUAUCUGUUAAUGCAAUAUUAGGGUUCAGAUUGCCAAUGCAUCACUUCCUCAUAUAUUUUCGAAGAAGAAUAUUAUGAUAUCAUUUACUAAUCCCAUCUGUUACUAGUAAUAUAUAAAACUUAAUAAUGGGUCUUGCAUUUUUCUUUAGUCUAGUUUCUUACUACCAAUUAGAGUAAGAUAACCAUCAGGGUUCUUGAACCUAAUGGUUAUUACUUGUUUAAGUCAACAUUAUUCCUCAGGUAGAUCACAGCCUAGUAGAAUCAGUAAGACUAGCUUAAUAUUGUUAUCAUCAAUCAUUUGUCACUUUUGUCCUCAAACCAACUUUUUAACCAGUUUAUUAAAUUUUCACCUAAUUCAUGUUUUAAAUGUGAGAUUCAUUAGCUUCUGACAUUGUCACAUGUCACAUCCUAUAUUUGAUAAAUUCUUUUGAUUUUGCACAUUAUGAUAAUUGAGAAUCUCCUCAUUACAAAUGUUGUGUGUUAAUCUAGGGCCACCUCCCCCUGCUUUUUAUCUUUGCAAUCAUUAUUUGUAUCUUCUGCAGUUUGGUUGAUCAACUGUACUUGUGUCAUCCUCAGGAAAUAUAUAGAUAAGAUCAUUGUUAAAACAUUUCAAAAAAAAAUCUAAUUAAAUUUUGGUAUUAGCAGAGAGAAUGGGUGCAUUUAUGAUGGCCAUGUACCCUAAUUUAGAGAACACAUCAACAAAAAUGUGUUGCACAGAACAUAAAUGGACACAACAAGAAACCUCCACUUGAGGGAUUUUGUCUAAUCACUCCAUAGCAAACUCACACUGGCAUCACAUAAUCAAUUUGAGGUAUGUGUUAGGAAGAGAAUUCUGGGUCAAUUUCUAGUUUCAUACAUAUAUAUUUGGCUUCUAGUGUCAAUCAUUUCACAAUAUCCUUAAAACCUUAGUUAAAAAAUAAUUCACCCAGGAGCAAUCAUUUUCACAAAUGAUGCAUAUAUGAAUAAAGAGAAAUGGCAUCUUAAUCAGAAAAACCUAACUCAUUAUAGAGGGGAGUCGAACAGUCUCUAAAAUACUGUGAGUAUGCAUUAUGUAAAAAGAAAAAAAAAAUGAAGAACAGUUCAACCUCAAUCUGCCCAAGAAAAAUAAAUCCACAAAGAAUAUACUGGAAUUUGAAAGGUUCAGACUUUCAUGUGCAAAUUAAGAUAAGAAGGUUGCUUACUUGGAGUGAUGCUAGAAUAUUUGAAAGAGCCUGCCCAUAAGUAUCGUGAAAAUGGACGGCAAGCUUAUCAAUAGGAACAACAUCAAUAACAUCUUCAAGCAUUGGAAUGACAGUACCUAGACAUAGGGAAAGAAAGCAAGAAAUAAUAAAUAAAUCAACAAAGAGAAAAGCACCAGAUAAAAGAAAGCAUUAUUCCUACUCUUAAAAAAAAAAAAAAUUAAGCACAUCUCCUUUCUUAUACUCAAUGCAUAUAUUAACUAUAAUUAAUUUUAGAUUUUCAUGUUCUAGGUCUAUAGGUCAAAAAUAAAUCCAAUGUGUAAAUUUUAUUACACUGACUUCAUCCAAUAACCAUAAGGUAUCCAGUCACAUGUUAAUCCUAUUAUUAUACUAUGUUUUGUAUUAUGCUAUUAAACUCAUUGUUUUUCAAUUAAAAUCCCUUGUUUGCAGAAGUUAGAUUAUUUAUGUAACAUGGACAGUUCCAAAAUUUGUGUUUGUAUAUGCAAGCCAGCAAGCACGCCCAUUUGUAUGUGCAACAAAUAAUUUAAGAAAUCAAUUAAUUUUAAACUGGUGAAAACUAAACCAAAUGUAUACAUAAAUUGUUUUUAAAUUCUGGGCUAUUCCACUGUAAGGAUUUAUAUUAAUGUGAACAUGUGAUGUUUUAGGUUAAAUUAUUAUGUGUAUAAUGUUCUAAAUUAGAUUAUCAUACUUUUGGGUUAUAUAUUAUAGAAGCUCCCAUAUUUUUGAAAAAAGUAUUGGCCCAAUUAUGCCCCAAACCAAAUCAAACUGAUGUUAAGUCGGGUUGGUUUUGGUCAAUAACUAAAUUGGUUCUAAUUGGUUCCAAUUUAUUUUAAACUGACCAACUCGCUUUUAGUCUUGGGUUGGUUAAAAACUAACCUAAACUAAACCGCCCCUACUUGCUGACUACAAAUUUAUUUUUUUCACAUACAAUGUCCCACAAUUUUACGAUGUUUGAAAAACAAGAAAUUUAAUAUGCUUAUUACCUAUUACCAAUCAAAAUUCUAAAUUAAAAUAAAGGGAAAAAAUGGAAAAUAAAAGGUGAGGCUAUUUUUGGUUUCUAGAAAAUAUUGAGGAAAGAAAUAAAAUAUUAAGGAAAAUGAUUUCCUCAUGUUUGAUUUUACCAUGAAAAAUAUAAAAGAAAAUCAAAUAUAAUUAAAUUUCAUUGGAAACUUAUGCAUUUUUAUAUUAUUUAAUCUUCAUAUAUAGAAGAAUAAAAUAAGUUAAAUGUAUUUGAAAUAGCAUGUAAAAACAAUUUAUUAACUUGAAAUCUAUUUUUCAUUUUCCUUCAAUUUUUCUCUCCUACUUUUUCUCCCUAUAUCUUCUUUUCCUUACAUUUUCCUUCAAAUUUUCCGGGAACCAAACAUGGUAUAAGAGAAGUUAGAGAACGACCUUAGUAUUCAUAAAAAAGUCAUCUAAAAAAUAACUUUGAACAAAAAAAAAGAAAAAAAGAG